AUUGAACGCUGGCGGCAGGCCUAACACAUGCAAGUCGAACGAGCGGCGGACGGGUGAGUAAUGUCUGGGAAACUGCCUGAUGGAGGGGGAUAACUACUGGAAACGGUAGCUAAUACCGCAUACCAUCGGAUGUGCCCAGAUGGGAUUAGCUAGUGGGUGGGGUAACGGCUCACCUAGGCGACGAGCCCUAGCUGGUCUGAGAGGAUGAACAGCCACACUGGAACUGAGACACGGUCCAGACUCCUACGGGAGGCAGCAGUGGGGAAUAUUGCACAAUGGGCGAAAGCCUGAUGCAGCCAUGCCGCGUGUAUGAAGAAGGCCUUAGGGUUGUAAAGUACUGUCAGCGGGGAGGCGUUACCCGCAGAAGAAGCACCGGCUAACUCCGUGCCAGCCGCCGCGGUAAUAC
rnacentral:rRNA from 1 species